rnacentral:misc_RNA from 1 species
UCCGGUUUGUCACCGGCAGUCUCCCUAGAGUUCCCGGCCGAACCGCUGGCAACUAGGGACAAGGGUUGCGCUCGUUACGGGACUUAACCCAACAUCUCACGACACGAGCUGGCGACAGCCAUGCAGCACCUGUCACCUGGUUCCCGAAGGCACACCCGUAUCUCUACAGGCUUCCAGGGAUGUCAAGAGUAGGUAAGGUUCUUCGCGUUGCAUCGAAUUAAGCCACAUGCUCCGCCGCCUGUGCGGGCCCCCGUCAAUUCCUUUGAGUUUUAGCCUUGCGGCCGUACUCCCCAGGCGGGGCACUUAAUGCGUUAGCUACGGCACGGAACCCGUCAAUGAGGUCCCACACCUAGUGCCCAUCGUUUACGGCGUGGACUAC